rnacentral:lncRNA from 1 species
AGAGAGAAGCAGAUAGUGUUUGAAAUCUUUAAUACCCCAGUCACGUACAUGGCCAUUCAGGCAGAACUGUUCUUGUAUGUAUCUGGGCACACAACUGGCAUUGUCAUGGACUCUGGUGACAGGGUCAUGUAUACAAUGCCCAUCUAUAAGAGCUACUCACCCUUCCCCACACCAUCUUGCUUCUGGACCUGGCUGGUUGGGACCUGAUAUACUAUCUCAUGUAGGUGCUGACUGAGCAGGGCUGCAGUUUUACCACCACUGCUGAGAGGGGAGUUGUUUAUGAGAGAGGAGUUUAUGAGAGGGGAGUUGUUUAGGGAGAAGCUGUGCUAUGUUGCCCUGGAUUUUGAGCCACAACAUCAACCGCAGCAUUCUCCAGUUCCUUGAAGAAGAGUUGUGAGCUGCCUGAUGCGCAGGUGAUCACCACCAGCAAUGAGUGAUUCUGGAGUUCAAAGGCUCCCUUCUAGCUUUCCCUACUGGGAAUGGAGUCCUGUGGCUUUCAUGAGACCUUCAACUCCAUCAUGAAGUGAGAUGUGGACAUCAGCAAAGACCUGUGUGCCAGUACAGUGCUGUCUGGUGGUACCAUCAUGUAUCUAGGCAUUGUUGACAGGAUGCAGAGGGAUAACACCCAGCACAAUGAAGAUUAAGAUUAUUGCUCCCACAGGGUCCCCAAUGGAGGAGAUAGAGAAAGGACCCAAGGAGCUGAAGGGGUUUGCAGCCCUAUAGGAGGAACAACAGUAUGAACCAACCAGUACCCCCAGAGCUCCCAGGGACUCAACCAAAGAGUACACAUGGAGGGACCCAUGGCUCCAGCCACAUACAUAGCAGAGGAUGGCCUUGUGGGACAUCAGUGGGAGGAGAGGCCCUUGGUCCUGUGAAGGCUCGAUGCCCCAGUGUAGGGGAAUGCCAGGAAAGGGAAGUGGGAGUGGGUGAGUUAGUGAAUGAAAUAGGGAGGUUUUCGGAGGGGAAAUGAGGAAAGGGAAUAACAUUUGAAAUGCAAAUAAAGAAAAUAAUCUAGUAAAAAAGAAAUAAUAAAAAAAAAGAAAAAAAGAAAGACUGUUGCUCCUCUCGAGUGCAAGUACUCAGUUUGGAUUAGUGGCUCCAUGCUGGCCUCACUGUUCACUUUCCAGUAGAUGUGGAUCAGCAAGCAGGAG